rnacentral:rRNA from 1 species
UACGUAGGGGGCUAGCGUUGUCCGGAAUCAUUGGGCGUAAAGCGCGUGUAGGCGGUCCGGUAAGUCCGCUGUGAAAGUCGGGGGCUCAACCCUCGGAAGCCGGUGGAUACUGUCGGGCUAGAGUACGGAAGAGGCGAGUGGAAUUCCUGGUGUAGCGGUGAAAUGCGUAGAUAUCAGGAGGAACACCGGUGGCGAAGGCGGCUUUCUGGACAGACACCGACGCUGAGGCACGAAAGCUAGGGGAGCAAACAGG